rnacentral:rRNA from 1 species
GACAGCAGCCGCCACGGGAAUACAGAGGGUGCGAGCGUUAAUCGGAUUUACUGGGCGUAAAGCGUGCGUAGGCGGCUUUUUAAGUCGGAUGUGAAAUCCCUGAGCUUAACUUAGGAAUUGCAUUCGAUACUGGGAAGCUAGAGUAUGGGAGAGGAUGGUAGAAUUCCAGGUGUAGCGGUGAAAUGCGUAGAGAUCUGGAGGAAUACCGAUGGCGAAGGCAGCCAUCUGGCCUAAUACUGACGCUGAGGUACGAAAGCAUGGGGAGCAAACAGGAUUAGAUACCCGCGUAGUCCCUGUCUCUUAUAC